CCUACGGGGGGCAGCAGUGGGGAAUAUUGCACAAUGGGGGAAACCCUGAUGCAGCGACGCCGCGUGAAGGAAGACGUAUUUCGGUAUGUAAACUUCUAUCAGCAGGGAAGAAAAUGACUGUACCUGACUACGUAGCCACGGCUAACUACGUGACAGCAGCCGCGGUAAUACGUAGGGGGCAAGCGUUAUCCGGAUUUACUGGGUGUAAAGGGGGCGUAGGCGGGUUAGCAAGUCAGAAGUGAAAGCCCGGGGCUCAACUCCGGGACUGCGUUUGAAACUGUUGAACUAGAUUGCAGGAGAGGUAAGUGGAAUGCCUAGUGUAGCGGUGAAAUGCGUAGAUAUCAGGAGGAACACCAGUGGCGAAGGCGGCUUACCGGA
rnacentral:rRNA from 1 species